AAUGAACGCUGGCGGCAUGCCUAAUACGUGCAAGUCGAGCGAACACACGAGGCGCUUUCCUCCUUGACUUUCGCGUCGGACGGGUGAGUAACAUGUGUAUAACCUACCUAUAAGACUGGGGUAACUUACUGAAAACGGUGCUUAUAACGGCUUAUAUUUUGAACCGCAAGGUUCAAAACUUUCAGACGGUUUUGCUUCCACUUAUAGAUGGUUCCGCGCGGCAUUAGCUAGUUGGUCAGGUAACGGCUUACCAAGGCGACGAUGCAUAGCCGAUCUGAGAGGAUGAUCAGCCACACUGGAACUGAGACACGGUCCAGACUCCUACGGGAGGCAGCAGUAGGGAAUAUUGCACAAUGGGCGAAAGCCUGACGGAGCAACGCCGCGUGUGUGAUGAAGGUCUUCGGGUUGUAAAGCACUUUUAUCAGGGAGGAACAGAGGUAUGAGAAACUGUGCACUCCUUGACGGUACCUGAAGAAAAAGCCACGGCUAACUACGUG
rnacentral:rRNA from 1 species